UACGGGGGGGGCAAGCGUUGUUCGGAAUUACUGGGCGUAAAGGGCUCGUAGGCGGCCAACUAAGUCAGACGUGAAAUCCCUCGGCUUAACCGGGGAACUGCGUCUGAUACUGGAUGGCUUGAGUUUGGGAGAGGGAUGCGGAAUUCCAGGUGUAGCGGUGAAAUGCGUAGAUAUCUGGAGGAACACCGGUGGCGAAGGCGGCAUCCUGGACCAACACUGACGCUGAGGAGCGAAAGCUAGGGGAGCGAACGGG
rnacentral:rRNA from 1 species